rnacentral:lncRNA from 1 species
CCAAGCUGGAGGACUGGCAGAAGAGGCUCGACAAGCAUGUGAUGGGGGCAGCUAUGAGAUGCUCGUUUCCCUGGAUUAUGCCAUCUCCAAACCGGUCAUUCUCACCCAGAUAGAGAGGGGAGAAGAGCCUUGUCCUGCAGGCCCCUGGGGCCAGGAGAAGGGGGGUGAGGAGAAGACAAUAUGUCAAAGGAAACCAAACACCAGUAUUUCUCUGAGUCCAGAGCAGGCCCCAAGUCCAGCUAGCCCUGCCCAGGAGGAACUGAAUCAAAGGCAGACACCUGAGCAGCAGCAAGAGGAAGCAACCAUGAUUCCACCUGAGCCAGGCACUGGGAUUCCAGCAAGCACCAGCCCUUUAUCACUUAAACAGGAGGAAGAAUCUGCAGAGGGAGGAGAGUUGCCACCCUCCCCUUCCACAGAUAGCCUGCUUUCUGUGGAGCCAGGACUGGCAUAUGGGGACUGACCUCCAACAACAGACCCAGAUCCAGUCUGCAGAGAUCUCCCUUCUAGCUAUCCUAUCUGCUGUUCAGGCAGUGGAAA